rnacentral:rRNA from 1 species
CCUACGGGUGGCAGCAGUGAGGAAUAUUGGUCAAUGGACGGAAGUCUGAACCAGCCAUGCCGCGUGCAGGAAGACGGCUCUACGAGUUGUAAACUGCUUUUGUACAAGGGUAAACCUGAACACGUGUAUUCAGCUGAAAGUACUCUACGAAUAAGGAUCGGCUAACUCCGUGCCAGCAGCCGCGGUAAUACGGAGGAUCCAAGCGUUAUCCGGAUUUAUUGGGUUUAAAGGGUGCGUAGGCGGCGUGAUAAGUUAGAGGUGAAAUGUCCGAGCUUAACCCGGGAACUGCAUCUGAUACUGGUGAGCUAGAGAGUAGAUGCGGUAGGCGGAAUGUAUGGUGUAGCGGUGAAAUGCUUAGAGAUCAUGCAGAACACCGAUUGCGAAGGCAGCUGACCAAUCUAUAUCUGACGUUGAGGCACGAAAGCGUGGGGAGCAAACAGGAUUAGAUACCCGAGUAGUC